UUCUUAUUCUUAUUAUAAUAUAAUGUCAAAACUCUUAAAACUGUUACCAUGUAACAUAUCAUAUAGCCUGCUUGAAUUUGAAUCCCAUAUAACCUGAGUCCACAAAGGUACAAGUCUCAACGAAACCGAAACCAUUUCAAAACUGAAACACAACUUCACGAACAACCACUCGAUCCCAAAACGACUAAAGUUGUUCAUUCAUCGUCUGUCCCAAAAUAUCGGUCUCCAAACUCUCCCAUCCCCGGAAGCACACGAAACUCUUGAUUCAACCCCGUUUCUAUCUCUGAUGUCACAAUCUUUAUUCUCGGAAACCGUUUGCACACUACAUGCACUCCUUGUGGUGCCUAGAUUAGAUUCAAGAAUAUGAUAUUGGCCUCGGGUACCCCUUUCUUUAGAAGCAAUGAAAUAGCCUGAACGGCUG
rnacentral:lncRNA from 1 species